rnacentral:rRNA from 1 species
UGAGCAAUCUGCCCUUCUCAUCGGAAUAAGCGUUGGAAACGACGUCUAAUGCCGAAUACGACCUCCUUUCGCAUGAUCGGAGGUGGAAAGCUCCGGCGGAGAAGGAUGAGCUCGCGGCCUAUCAGCUAGUUGGUGUGGGUAAUGGCCCACCAAGGCGACGACUGGUAGCCGGCCUGAGAGGGUGACCGGCCACACUGGGACUGAGACACGGCCCAGACCUCCUAGGGAGG